rnacentral:rRNA from 1 species
ACGCUCGACACCUACGGAGGCAGCAGUCGGGAAUAUUGCGCAAUGGAGGGAACUCUGACGCAGUGACGCCGCGUAUAGGAAGAAGGUUUUCGGAUUGUAAACUAUUGUCGUUAGGGAAGAGAAAGGACAGUACCUAAGGAGGAAGCUCCGGCUAACUACGUGUCAGCAGCCGCGGUAAUCUGAGCGGGCUGGCAAGGC